CCUACGGGGUGCAGCAGUGAGGAAUAUUGGUCAAUGGUCGGGAGACUGAACCAGCCAAGCCGCGUGAGGGAUGAAGGUACAGAGUAUCGUAAACCUCUUUUGUCAGGGAACAAAGGCGGGGACGUGUCCCCGGAUGCGUGUACCUGAAGAAAAAGCAUCGGCUAACUCCGUGCCAGCAGCCGCGGUAAUACGGAGGAUGCGAGCGUUAUCCGGAUUUAUUGGGUUUAAAGGGUGCGGAGGCGGUCUGUUAAGUCAGAGGUAAAAGCCCGGGGGUCAACCCCGGCCCGCCGUUGAAACUGGCAGUCGCGAGUUGGAGAGAAGUAUGCGGAAUGCGCGGUGUAGCGGUGAAAUGCAUAGAUAUCGCGCAGAACUCCGAUUGCGAAGGCAGCAUGCCGGCUCCACACUGACGCUGAGGCACGAAAGCGUGGGUAUCGAACAGGAUUAGAUACCCUUGUAGUC
rnacentral:rRNA from 1 species